AGUUAAGUGUCUCCUCGCUUAAGGGAUGAUUGGGCAGCGCCCGUCUCUGUUGGUGGCCCAAAGUCAACGAUAGUUAGACUUGGGCAGUAGACGUUCCACCUUCUAGUGAGUAGUAGACGUUCCACCUUCUAGUGAGUAGUAGACGUUCCACCUUCUAGUGAGUAGUAGACGUUCCACCUUCUAGUGAGUAGUAGACGUUCCACCUUCUAGUGAGUAGUAGACGUUCCACCUUCUAGUAGGUAGUAGACGUUCCACCUUCUAGUGAGUAGUAGACGUUCCACCUUCUGGUAGGUAGUAGACGUUCCACCUUCUAGUGAGUAGUAGACGUUCCACCUCUAGUGGGUAGUAGACGUUCCACCUUCUAGUGGGUAGUAGACGUUCCACCUUCUAGUGAGUAGUAGACGUUCCACUUCUAGUGGGUAGUAGACGUUCCACCUUCUAGUUAGUAGUAGACGUUCCACCUUCUAGUGAGUAGUAGACGUUCCACCUUCUAGUGAUGAGUAGACGUUCCACCUUUAGUGAGUAGUAGACGUUCCACCUUCUAAGUAGGUAGUAGACGUUCCACCUUCUAGUAGGUAGUAGACGUUCCACCUUCUAGUAGGUAGUAGACGUUCCACCUUCUAGUGAGUAGUAGACGUUCCACCUUCCUAGUGAGUAGUAGACGUUCCACCUUCUAGUAGGUAGUAGACGUUGCACCUUCUAGUGAGUAGUAGACGUUCCACCUUCUAGUAGGUAGUAGUACGUUCCACCUUCUAGUAGGUAGUAGACAUUCCACCUUCUAGUGGGUAGUAGACGUUCCACCUUCUAGUGAGUAGUAGACAUUCCACCUUCUAGUGAGUAGUAGACGUUCCACCUUCUAGUAGGUAGUAGACGUUCCACCUUCUAGUGAGUAGUAGACGUUCCCACCUUCUAGUGAGUAAUAGACGUUCCACCUUCUAGUAGGUAGUAGACGUUCCACCUUCUAGUGAGUAGUAGACGUUUCCACCUUCUAGUAGGUAGUAGACGUUCCACCUUCUAGUGAGUAGUAGACGUUCCACCUUCUAGUAGGUAGUAGACGUUCCACCUUCUAGGGGUAGUAGACGUUCCACCUUCUAGUGAGUAGUAGACAUUCCACCUUCUAGUGAGUAGUAGACGUUCCACCUUCUAGUGAGUAGUAGACGUUCCACCUUCUGGUGAGUAGUAGACGUUCCACCUUCUAGUAGGUAGUAGACGUUCCACCUUCUAGUAGGUAGUAGACGUUCCACCUUCUAGUGAGUAGUAUACGUUCCACCUUCUAGUGAGUAGUAGCGUUCCACCUUCUAGUGAGUAGUAGACGUUCCACCUUCUAGUGAUGAGUAGACGUUCCACCUUUAGUGAGUAGUAGACGUUCCACCUUCUAGUAGGUAGUAGACGUUCCACCUUCUAGUGAGUAGUAGACGUUCCACCUUCUAGUGAGUAGUAGACGUUCCACCUUCUAGUAGGUAGUAGACGUUCCACCUUCUAGUAGGUAGUAGACGUUCCACCUUUUAGUAGGUAGUAGACGUUCCACCUUCUAGUAGGUAGUAGACGUUCCACCUUCUAGUAGGUAGUAGACGUUCCACCUUCUAGUGAGUAGUAGACGUUCCACCUUCUAGUGAGUAGUAGACGUUCCACCUUCUAGUGAGUAGUAGAUGUUCCACCUUCUAGUAGGUAGUAGGACAUUCCACCUUCUAGUGAGUAGUAGACGUUCCACCUUCUAGUGAGUAGUAGACGUUCCACCUUCUAGUGGGUAGUAGACGUUCCACCUUCUAGUGAGUAGUAGACGUUCCACCUUCUAGUGAGUAGUAGACGUUCCACCUUCUAGUGAGUAGUAGACGUUCCACCUUCUAGUGAGUAGUAGACGUUCCACCUUCUAGUGAGUAGUAGACGUUCCCACCUUCUAGUGAGUAGUA